rnacentral:misc_RNA from 1 species
UCCCCGUUCUCCUAGGCAGUCCCAUCAGAGUGCCCUCUUACGAGGUUGCAACUGACAGCAGGGGUUGCGCUCGUUAUAGGACUUAACCCAACAUCUCACGACACGAGCUGACGACAGCCAUGCAGCACCUGUGAAUAUGUCCAUGGUUUCCCAUGGAAAACCCCGUUUCUGGGGCGAUCAUAAACAUGUCAAACCUAGGUAAGGUUCCUCGCGUAGUGUCGAAUUAAACCACAUGUUCCACCGCUUGUGCGGACCCCCGUCAAUUCCUUUGAGUUUUAAUCUUGCGACCGUAGUCCCCAGGCGGAUCACUUAUCGCGUUAGCUACGACACUAAUUCUGCAGAGCAGAACUAACGUCUAGUGAUCAUCGUUUACAGCGUGGACUAC